UCAAGCGAAGAAGGGCGCAGGGCGGAUGCCUUGGCACUGAGAGCCGAUGAAAGACGUGAUAAGCUGCGAUAAGCUUCGGGGAGGAGCAAAUAUCCUUUGAUCCGGAGAUCUCUGAAUGGGGAAACCCGGCUGUAUGGACUACAGUCAUCCAUAAGUGAAUCCAUAGCUUAUGGAAGGGAACCCGGGGAACUGAAACAUCUAAGUACCCGGAGGAAGAGAAAGAAACAUUCGAUUCCGUAAGUAGCGGCGAGCGAACGCGGAAGAGCCCAAACCGUGAUGCGUGCAUCGCGGGGUUCGGACUGCAUAAGGGAUUCAGUAACGGCAGGAGAACGGCUUUGGAACAGCCGGCCAGAGAGGGUGAGAGCCCCGUAUCCGAAGCCAGAGCUGACCCGGCAGGAUCCAGAGUACCACGGGACACGGGAAACCCUGUGGGAACGAGCGGAGACCACUCCGUAAGGCUAAAUACUACUCAGUGACCGAUAGCGUAUAGUACUGUGAAGGAAAGGUGAAAAGAACCCCGGGAGGGGAGUGAAAGAGAACCUGAAACCCUGUGUCUACAAGCUGUGGAAGCACCCUAUGAGUGCAACCGCGUACUUUUUGUAGAACGGUCCGGCGAGUUAUGUGGUGUGGCAAGGUUAAGCACGGAAAGUGUGGAGCCGAAGGGAAACCAAGUCUUAACUGGGCGGUUAAGUCACAUAACAUAGACCCGAAACCGGGUGAUCUAUCCAUGUCCAGGUUGAAGCUGCUGUAAAAGGUGGUGGAGGACCGAACGCACAUCCGUUGAAAAGGGUGGCGAUGAGGUGUGGAUAGGGGAGAAAUUCCAAUCGAACUCGGAGAUAGCUGGUUCUCCUCGAAAUAGUUUUAGGACUAGCCUGUCAGGAGUCUGCUGGAGGUAGAGCACUGAAUUUUUGCGGGGGCGUCAAAGCCUACCAAUGAAUAUCAAACUCCGAAUGCCAGCCAGAUGCUCUGAUGGAGUCAGACUGCACGAGAUAAGUUGGGUAGUCAAAAGGGAAACAGCCCAGACCACCAGCUAAGGUCCCAAAGUGCGUGUUAAGUGGAAAAGGAUGUGGGAAUUCGAAGACAACUAGGAUGUUGGCUCAGAAGCAGCCAUUCAUUCAAAGAGUGCGUAACAGCUCACUAGUCGAGAGUUCCUGCGCCGAAAAUGUCCGGGGCUAAAACACGACACCGAAGCUGUGGAAUCAUGCUUGCAUGAUUGGUAGAGGAGCAUUCGCUGAGAGACGAAGCUGUACCGAAAGGAGCAGUGGAUUUCAGUGAAGAGAGAAUGCCGGAAUGAGUAGCGAGAGAUAGGUGAGAAUCCUAUCGGCCGAAUAUCUAAGGUUUCCAGAGUAAAGCUGAUCUGCUCUGGGUAAGUCGGGGCCUAAGGCGAGGUCGAAAGACGUAGUCGAUGGAUAACAGGUUGAAAUUCCUGUACUAUCCUGUAACAGAACUGUGGGGACACAGGCAGAGAGCGUGAGCCGGGAAUGGAAAGACCGGUACAAGCGAGGUAGGAGAAGAGUUGGCAAAUCCGCUCUUUAAUCUGAAGACGUGAUGUGGACUGAAAAUAAGUAGGGAAGCACGUGAGCUGACUGUCAAGAAAAGCCGCUAUUGUUUGCAGGAUACCCGUACCGUAAACCGACACAGGUGGAUGAGGAGAGAAUCCUAAGGCCGACGGGAGAAGCAUUGUUAAGGAACUCGGCAAAAUGACUCCGUAACUUCGGGAGAAGGAGUGCCAGUAAGAUGGCCGCAGAGAAUUGGCCCAAGCAACUGUUUAGCAAAAACACAGGUCUAUGCAAAACCGAAAGGUGAGGUAUAUGGGCUGACGCCUGCCCGGUGCUGGAAGGUUAAGGGGAGAGGUUAGCGCAAGCGAAGCUUUGAACUUAAGCCCCAGUAAACGGCGGCCGUAACUAUAACGGUCCUAAGGUAGCGAAAUUCCUUGUCGGGUAAGUUCCGACCCGCACGAAAGGCGUAAUGAUUUGGGCACUGUCUCGACAAUGCACCCGGUGAAAUUGAAAUACCAGUGAAGAUGCUGGUUACCUGCGCCAGGACGGAAAGACCCCAUGGAGCUUUACUCCAGCUUGAUACUGGGAUUCGGUAUUGCAUGUACAGGAUAGGUGGGAGGCUAGGAAAUGGUAACGCCAGUUGCCAUGGAGCCACUGUUGGGAUACCACCCUUGCAGUACUGGGUUUCUAACCAGCAGCCGUGAUCCGGCUGGGGGACAAUGUCAGGUGGGGAGUUUGACUGGGGCGGUCGCCUCCGAAAGGGUAUCGGAGGCGCUCAAAGGUUCCCUCAGAAUGGUUGGAAACC
rnacentral:rRNA from 1 species